AAACGCUAGAUCGGCGAUCCGGCGAAGAACUAGUCCACAUUGAACUUCAUCAACACCAUCUUCGGCUGAUCCAUUGCUUGAGUGAGCACUCCAUGUUCAGUGAGGUCUGUGAUCAUGCUCAACAAAAGGCUACGGGGAAGAGUUUGCAGCAUUAGCCAGCAAGAUCACCAUGCGUUUUUUCUGGCCCUACUGUCACUAGAAUCAUGAAUGAGCCAGCUGCUGAUGUUCCAUUGCUUAUGGUCUUGACUAGAAGGCUUCCAUGUUGAUAAAGAGUCUUCUCGUCUUUGACCUUGGUCAUUACACUUUGAUGUCCCACUGUUCAGCAUUGAGGAGGGCAUUUCUGAGAUGAAAGCUACUGCAGGUAAUACUCAGCUCGUUGGCUAGGACCUUGACAACCUAAUGGUGAAUCAUUUUUUUCCUGGGGUUUUUAAGUGCGAGCACAAAAAGAGCACAUCAGUGGAAAUCCCAGGGCUCUGAGGAGGCUGAGAACAACUUCUGCAAGAGAGAAAGGGAACCUCUCAUCCACAGCUCAGAGGAUGAUUUUGAGUUUGGUUUGUUAUAUCAGAGCAUGGAUUUUUAAUCCCGCAUUACCUGUAGAGAAAUGCUAGAGAGGCACGUAGAUAGACUAGCAGUGGGUGACGCAGUGAGGAUCCACUAGAAUUUCUAUGCUGCUGGAACUUCCUUAGGACUUCUUCAAAGUGGAGUAUCUCUGCUAGAGCAUUAAAAGCUGCUGCCUAUGGUGCUGUCUUUGAGGCUGCUAUUCUGAGUGGUGAGGACAAUAAGAACAUGCAUGACCUGCCCCUGCAUGUCAAUACUUUUAUCUUCGGGCGUUGGUAACCACUGUGUGCAUUAUGGCGGUCCUCAUUCCAUUGAACGCCACCAAACUCCAUAUUAGCACUAUCAGCUGGCUUCUUGAUCCAGGUUUAGGAAGGUGAAAGGAUCAGGACAAUAGAUAAUAACAAUUAUUUUUGAAGGCAUGAGCCAUCUGGCAUUUCUCAGAGCACUGUCUGAUUCGCAUUGAUCCAAAUGGUGCCCUGAAUGUCCCUACCGAUGAAAAGACUGCUGUGCAGAAGAACAGUAUCAUUGUCACCAAUGGAAAGUGCUUGUCUAGCAACAAGACUGAGGGCUGAAUAUUUGCAACUUGUUGGGUUUAUCAUCUGAAGAAUAUCAUUUAGCAAGAUUGAGGAUGCCAUUGAGUAGGUGAUUCAGCGGCUUCAUUGACAAUGACUAAUGAGUAAUGAAUUGGAUGGCAAGAUGAAAGAGCUUGAGAGCUUCUGCAGUCCAUCAUCGCCAGGAUGUACCGGCGUACUGGUGCUGACAUAGGUGGAAUGGAUGGUGAUGAACCCUCUUUUGGUGGCAAUUGUGUUGGUCCCAAGAUUGAGGUGGAUUAGGUGCAAUCCUCCACUUUUCCUUGGGCAUCUCUUCUAGAUUUCUGUGCACUUGGAUGGUGGGCUUCAUGAUUUCCCUUAUUUUUGCUGCUGUUGCUCUUUAGCUGCACAGCCCAUGCAUCCAUUAUGAAUGCCUUAUGCUUUCUUGCCUACUUUCUGCUUGUUCUCUGAUAUUUCUACAGCUCUCUUUUUGAUGGCUUCUAAUCCAGGUUAAAAAUUAGUUUCUUGUUUUAUAUGCUGUUCUACAUGUCAUAUGCCAAAGUCACUGCAUGUGUAGGUUAUGAGGUCGUCAGUAUUGCUGUGAUGUUAUACUUGCAACCAAAAGAUACAGUAUAUCAUUGUUUUCUAGGAAUCUGUUAAGCUUCUUGGUUUCCAUGUUGGUUGUUGACUUGAAGUUUAUUCACAGAUCAGUGUGAGAAUUUGAUGUAUUUUGGAAGACAAGCACCAUUUGGAAGCCACCUCUCCAGUUGACUCCUAUCCUAAACUUUUGCUUCAACAGGGGAUUGAAGACAGAGGACUUUAAUGAAUGGAAGGAACUUAAGUUUUAUCAUCCACCUCCAGACCAUCAAAUUGAAGUCAAUUGGCGUCUGGAAACAUCAUACACCAAGGAAAAGAUAGUGGUGCCAAUUGGCUGAUGCUUGCUAAUUAAUGUUUCAUCUAUGUGAGCUUGCUCAGCACCCACAUCAAUCCCAGUCAAUAAGGUAUAUACCAAUUUAAUAUUGAAUUCCUACUUAAUUAUAAAAUAAUAAUAAUAAUAAUAAUAAUAAUAAUAAUAAUAAUAAUAAUAAUAAUAAUAAUAAUAAUAAUGAGAAACUUUGGCCGUGAUUCCAUCAAAUAAUUAUCACGUAGACAACUAUAGAACACAAGCAACAAAAAUCAGAUGCAGUGUGCAGUGACUAGUGAUCAAGAUGCCUUUCAAACUCUCAUAAUUACACAUUCUCAUAUUUAUAAAUUUAUACAAUAAACUCUAAUUGUAAAUUCAUAACUGUAAUUGCAUUGAUCUCUUGUUUGUCCUCCUAAUUAGCCUAAUGUAUUAAUAAUGAUUCAUGCACGGUGUGAAUAUUGCAAACAUCUAUUAAUUAUUCAUGUAUGUAUUUCUACAGUUUGUAAUUAUUUUCACACCUCUUUUUAAUGAAAACAUUUUGUUCAUAAAGAGUAAUACAAACAAUUAUGAGAAUCUUGCAGGGGGGUACAUGCAAAAAGAUAUAAAUAAAUAUAGGGAGAGGCAGUGAGAAUAACAUGAGGGUGAUGGUGGGGAGGGGUUGAGUUUGCUAAUCAUGUGCUUAAAAGUUUAAUAUAAAAAAAAAAAAGAGAGAGAAACGUAAAUAUAUAUGAGAGUGAUGGUGCUUCAUUUCUUGAGGCCCAUUAGAUAGAGAAAAAGGUGAGAUGUCAACGUGGAAUGUCACCGGCCCAUAUAUUCGAAGGGGCCCACGAAUCAGACGUCGCAGUUUGGGCCGUGCUCAAAGGAAUCCACUCUCUAUCCCCGACCGAAGGCAUCUAAUGACUCCUCUCCAUCCUCCUUGCCUGGAAAUUCAUGCCAAAAAG